rnacentral:hammerhead_ribozyme from 1 species
AUCCAUCUGAUGAGCCUCAAAUAGGACGAAGCGCGCUUCCUGGAU